GGCGCGUGUUAUUUUUAGCUUUAGAAGCAGGAGAACGUUUCUGACCUUGUCACUCAGCUCUGAUAGUCCGUAUCCUGCUAUGCCACCUGGUGUUCCUUUUGGGGGGAUACAGCCUACUCUGCCUUCCUCCCUCUAAUGGGGUGUUGAGAACCCCAAAGGGAGAAAGGAGGGUGGCCCAGGAGGGAGCAGAAAGGAUGAGAGGGAAGUGGCACUCCUGCACCUGCUUCUUUGAGAACAAAGCCAAGCAUGAUGCAAUCUGGCCGGGUGCAGCUGAGGCUGCCAGGCCUGGAGGAGGAGAAUGGGCGUCAGUCCGGAAAGGUGGCAGGCACCAAAGUGCACACAGGUAUCCCUAGGCGCCUUACUCGGGAUUCACAGCAGCCUCACCCACCAGCAGCAGCCUGUGAGUGCAGCCGAGGGCCUGGCUUAGAGCAGCCACUAGGUGGCAGGAGAAGCUCGAAGGUUCACCUGGCUCCGUCCACUCCCACCCGCGCCCCUGGCUCCAGAAACCCCAGAACCAGGUGAAGCGAAGUUCCUGUCCUGUGUCCAGCAGCUGCCUCGGAAUUCCCUUCCCUGCUGAAGGUUCAUUGCCCAGUUCAGUUUGGCCAACCCUAGCCCUGAGUGUUACAGGUAGGCGCUGGCACCCGCGAAGGGCGUGCCCUGUCCUGAUGGCGCUUCUCUCCAACCACUUGGGGGAGAUCCAACCCGGUGUCAGGCGAAUUCAGGGGUUGGCUGCUCUCCCAGCCUCCUCACACGUGCUGGGUUCUCUCCUGGCCAGUGCAGCUCAAAACUCUUCCAAAGGUACUUGCUUCUAGUCCAGUGUGGCUUCCAUCCCAGGCCCCUAUUCAAGCCCAGAGAUGAUUUCGGCCAGGAAGACCUGUCCAUGAUGCUAUUCUAUUCUCCCUCAGUCUGAGUGUGUACCCCCCCCCUCUCGCGCUCUGUGUUUGUGUGUGUGUGUGUGUGUGUGUGUGUGUGUGUGUGUGUGUGUGUGUGUGUGUGUGUGUGUGUGUGUAGGUAGGUCAGAGGGCAAUUUUCAGAAGUCAAUUUUCUCCUUUUCAUAAUGUGGGCUCCAGAUCCACCAUAUACAUUCUAAGGGUUGAACUCGGGUAGUCAGCCUUGGCAUCAAGUACCUUUACCUGCUAAGCCUUCUGACAGGCUUAAAACAUGUGGUUUUAGAGGAAAUUUUUUAUUUUUAAUUUAACAUUUUUAGACAGGGCUACCAACCAUCUCCCAAAUCAUGACAUGGAGAUUUGUUAUUAGUUAUGAAUGCUUGGUCUUAUCUUAGUUCUUGUUUUAAUCUGUUUCUCUUUAUCUACAUUUUGCUUUUCGUUUUUUUUGUUUUUUGAGAUUUAUUAUGUAUAUGGUGUUCUGCCUGCACCCCAGAAGAGGGCACCAGAUCUCAUUAUAGAUGAUUGUGAGCCACCAUGUGGUUGCUGGGAAUUGAACUUGGGACCCCUGGAAGCGCAGCCAGUGCUUUUAACCUCUGAGCCAUCUCUCCAGCCCCAGGAAUUAUUUUCUUAAAGAU
rnacentral:lncRNA from 1 species